CAGCCGCCACGGUAAUACGGAGGGAGCUAGCGUUGUUCGGAAUUACUGGGCGUAAAGCGCACGUAGGCGGCUUUGUAAGCUAGAGGUGAAAGCCUGGAGCUCAACUCCAGAAUUGCCUUUAAGACUGCAUCGCUUGAAUCCAGGAGAGGUGAGUGGAAUUCCGAGUGUAGAGGUGAAAUUCGUAGAUAUUCGGAAGAACACCAGUGGCGAAGGCGGCUCACUGGACUGGUAUUGACGCUGAGGUGCGAAAGCGUGGGGAGCAAACAGGAUUAGAUACCCCAGUAGUCCCUGUCUCUUAUAC
rnacentral:rRNA from 1 species